GGUUAGAUUGACAAACCUGUAACUAACUACCAAACUAUUUGAUGGUUGGAUUGACAGACCUGUAAUUAACUACCAAACUGAGUGAUGGUUGGAUUGAUAAACCUGUAACUAACUACCAAACUGAGUGAUGGUUGGAUUGACAAACCUGAAACUAACAACCAAACUGAGUGAUGGCUAGAU